rnacentral:rRNA from 1 species
GCCAGACCUGGACGCACCGCAAGGUGUGAAGGCUACUGGUACUAAUAGACCAAAACAAACACACC